AUAGCGUAUAUUAAAGUUGUUGCGGUUAAAAAGCUCGUAGUUGAAUCUGUGUGUCACGCUGUCGGUUCACCGCUCGCGGUGUUUAACUGGCAUGACGUGGUACGUCCUACCGGUGGGCUUAGCUCCCUCGUGGGGCGGCCCGACUAAUAUCCCAUCGCGGUGCUCUUCACCGGGUGUCGAGGUGGGCCGGUACGUUUACUUUGAACAAAUUAGAGUGCUCAAAGCAGGCUAUCCUCGCCUGAAUACUGCGUGCAUGGAAUAAUGGAAUAGGACCUCGGUUCUAUUUUGUUGGUUUUCGGAACCCCGAGGUAAUGAUUAAUAGGGACAGAUGGGGGCAUUCGUAUUGCGACGUUAGAGGUGAAAUUCUUGGAUCGUCGCAAGACGGACAGAAGCGAAAGCAUUUGCCAAAAAUGUUUUCAUUAAUCAAGAACGAAAGUUAGAGGUUCGAAGGCGAUCAGAUACCGCCCUAGUUCUAACCAUAAACGAUGCCAGCUAGCGAUCCGCCGAAGUUCCUCCGAUGACUCGGCGGGCAGCUUCCGGGAAACCAAAGCUUUUGGGUUCCGGGGGAAGUAUGGUUGCAAAGCUGAAACUUAAAGGAAUUGACGGAAGGGCACCACCAGGAGUGGAGCCUGCGGCUUAAUUUGACUCAACACGGGAAACCUCACCAGGCCCGGACACCGGAAGGAUUGACAGAUUGAUAGCUCUUUCUUGAUUCGGUGGGUGGUGGUGCAUGGCCGUUCUUAGUUGGUGGAGCGAUUUGUCUGGUUAAUUCCGAUAACGAACGAGACUCUAGCCUGCUAAAUAGGCGUACCUUCUGGUAUCUCGAAGGCCCCCGGCCUUCCGGCCGGCGGGUUUUUACUACCGACGUACAAACAAAUCUUCUUAGAGGGAC
rnacentral:rRNA from 1 species